rnacentral:lncRNA from 1 species
CGGGGACAGCUGGUCUCUCCUCUGUGGCAUCGGCUUGGGCCUGGACUCAAAGGCUGGGGGCGGAAUCACCGAGAGGACGGCUCGAUCACACGCUGCUUGCUGGCUGGGACCUCAGCUGCACCUGUGGCCACGCACCUGCACGUGAACCUGCCACGGGGCUGCUGGGAUUUCUCCCCGCCUGGGGCCUGGGCCCCGCGAGCAAGCGUCCUUCCCUGGAGAAUAAGUAUGUAAACUUUAAGUUUUUAAAUUUUAUUUAUUUUGAGAGAGACAGAGACAGCGUGAGUGGUGGAGGGGUAGAGAGAGGGAGAGAGAGAAUCCCAAGCAGGCUCCACGCCACCAGCGCAGGGCCGGAUGCGGGGCUCGAUCGCACAAACCAUGGGAUCGGGACCGAGCGGAAAUCAAGAGUCAGAAGCUUAACCGACUGAGCCACGCAGGAGCCCCUGAAAUAGAACCUUAAAAAAAGAAAGAAAAAAAAAAAAACAAAUAAUUAAACUGACCUAAAAGAUAAAGGGACCCGUUCGUGCGUAGUUACCCUAGAGAAAUGAAAAUUUAUAUUCACGCAAAGCCUGUACAGAAAUGCUCACGGAAACUUCCGGAAGUCCCCGAAGCCCGGCGACGCGUGGUCAACCACAGUCAGGAUCAGAUGGUCCUUCUUCUGACUCAGCCUCAGAAGGUCAACGGUAGCCCAGUGCUCCGUCAGGUACGCACGUCACCUCACCACGGGGGCAUCUCAUCGUCUCACAUCGUCACAAGAUUUGGGGGGGGGGGGCGAGCACAGGACAGUAGGAUAUUCUGAAAGCAAGAGAGAGAGAGAAAGAGAAACCGUUUGCACAUACCUGUUAUUACAAUACAUUGUAAUAAUCGUUCUGUUUGAUCAUUAGUUACUGUUGUUCACCCCUCGCUGUGCUUAGUUUAGAAAUUAAACCUCCUCGGAGGUGUGUGUGUACCAGUCUGGGUGGGGCUCAGAACCAGCUGCGGUCUCAGGCGUCCCCUGGGGGUCUUGGCAGGCGUGCCCCAAGGAUAAGGGGCGGGAGACGGCUGUCUGCAAAUUCAAAAACCGAAAUGCAGUUGUGCUUUCCAACAAGUGAUGCUAGAACAGCUGGACAUCCGCAUGCAAAAAAGGGGACGCGAGACACGGACCUUCCAGCCUUCACCAAAGCGAACUCUCACGGGAUCCCAGGCCGAAAUGUACAAUGUGGAACUAAAAUUCCCAGAAGUUACCCUUAGGAGCAUGUCUAGCUGACCUUGGGUCUGGGGACGGCUUUUUAUUUUAUUUUUUAUUAUUUUUAAAUGUUUUUAAUGUUUUUUUUUUUUUUUAAUUUAUUUUUGAGAGCGAGAGACAGAGUGUGAGUGGGGGAGGGGCCGAGAGAGAGGGAGACACAGAAUCCGAAGGAGGCUUCCGGGCUCCCAGCUGUCCUCACAGAGCCCGACAUGAGGCUCGAACCCACGAACUGGGGGAUCACGACCUGAGCCGAAGUCUGUCGCUUAACCGACCAGCCAGCCGGGCGCCCCUGGUGACGACUUUUUAGCUGCAGCAUCCAAGACGUGACCCGUGAAAGAAACAAUCGAGAAGCCGGACUUCAUUAAAAUUAAAACCUUCUGCUCUGGGACAGAGAUGCUAUCAAGUGAACGGGAAGAGAAACCCCAGAUGGGGAGAAAAUAUUUGCAAAAAAGACGCAUCUGAUGACAUUAAAAAAAAAAAAAAAUCAAUGCUUCCUAGUAUAAAUGCUCUGGAAUUUAGCAGAGAGACUAUAAUUUGGGAAUACGAUCUGGUGGAACGUCCUCAUAAUCAUGUGCCGCGUAUUCCUACCUAAUAAUUACUUCUCUAUUUCUCGACUGGAGGUCUUUCAAUAAAUAAGAAUUUAUCGAGGGGCGCCUGGGUGGCUCAGUCGGUUAAGUGUCUGACUUUGGCUCAGGUCAUAAUCUCGGAGUUCGGGAGUUCGAGGUUCGAGCCCCGCGUCGGGCUCUGCGCUGAUCUCUGCUUGGGAGCCUGUCUCUCCCUCUCUCUCUGCCCCUCCCCCCUCUCAAAAUACAUAAAUAUUAAAAAAACAAUAAUGAUGGUGGACCCGUAGCACGUACAGCCCAAGCACGAACCCUAAACUGCGGCCUUCGGGCGAUUGCGAUGUGUCAGCACAGGGUCACUGACUGUAGCAAAUGUCCCACUCUGGUGGGGGGGGGUUGACAGUGGGCUGAACUAUGCAGUAAACGACCGAGGCCGUGCCUGUGUGGGGCAGGGUGGCUGUAGGGGAACCCUUCGUACAUUUUGCUUAAUUUUGCCGGGAGCCUAAAACUACUCAAAAAUGUAAAGCCUAGGGGCGCCUGGGUGGGUAAGACGGUUAAGCGUCUCAGUUCAGGUCUUGAUCUCAGGGUCCUGAGUUCAAGCCCUGCUCUGGGCUUUGUGCUGAGCAGUGAAACCAACUUUAGACAGAUAGAUAGGUGACUGAUAGAUGAUAGAUAGAUGAUAGAGAAAUGAAAACAAAGCCUAUUGGGGUACCUGGCUGGCUCAACGAGUGGGGGAUGAGACUCCUGAUUUCGGGGUCACGAGUUCGAGCCCCAUGUUGGGUGCAGAGCUUACGUAAAAAUGAGUAAGUAAGAAAGCCCGUUGAAAACAACGAAAAAAUAAAUAAUUAGAUAAAAAAACAUCGUGGCAGUGUAUUAA